rnacentral:rRNA from 1 species
AUUGAACGCUGGCGGCAGGCUUAACACAUGCAAGUCGAGCGAGCGGCGGACGGGUGAGUAAUGUCUGGGAAACUGCCUGAUGGAGGGGGAUAACUACUGGAAACGGUAGCUAAUACCGCAUACCAUCAGAUGUGCCCAGAUGGGAUUAGCUAGUAGGUGGGGUAAGGGCUCACCUAGGCAACGAUCCCUAGCUGGUCUGCGAGGAUGACCAGCCAAACUGGAACUGAGAGACGGUCCAGACGCCUACGGGAGGCAGCAGUGGGGAAUAUUGCACAAGGGGCGCAAGCCUGCUGCAGCCAUGCCGCGUGUAUGAAGAAGGCCUUCGGGUUGUAAAGUACUUUCAGCGAGGAGGCGUUACUCGCAGAAGAAGCACCGGCUAACUCCGUGCCAGCAGCCGCGGUAAUUC